AACGAACGCUGGCGGCAUGCCUAACACAUGCAAGUCGAACGAGACCUUCGGGUCUAGUGGCGCACGGGUGCGUAACGCGUGGGAACCUGCACAUAGGUUCGGAAUAACUCCCCGAAAGGGGUGCUAAUACCGGAUAAUGUCUUCGGACCAAAGAUUUAUCGCCUUUGGUUGGGCCCGCGUGGGAUUAGCUAGUUGGUAGGGUAAAAGCCUACCAAGGCGACGAUCCAUAGCUGGUCUGAGAGGAUGACCAGCCACGCUGGGGCUGAGACACGGCCCAGACUCCUACGGAAGGCAGCAGUGUGGAAUAUUGGAGAAGGAGCGAUAGUCUGACACCGCAAUGCCGGGUGAGUCAGGAAGGCCGUAGUGUUGUAAAGCUCGCUUAGCAGAGAUGAUAGUGACGGUACCGGGAGAAUAAGCACCGGCUAACUCCGUG
rnacentral:rRNA from 1 species